rnacentral:lncRNA from 1 species
UGUGGAUACAUCAAUCUUCUAUAUAGAUUUUUUUUUUCUUUCUUUGCAUGACUAUUUUUUGGGGGAAUGAAAAAUUUAAAAGUAUACAAGUUUUAAUGAAUAUUUAGUUUUGAACAUGGGGCACCACUGUUGAAGAAGCAUACACAAAAACUUCCUCCUUGAUCUUGAUCAAUACACACUGAAUCAGCAUAAAAGGGUCCAUAAUCUCUCUUGCAAAGGUUUUGGCAAAUUGGCAAUUCUUGAGAACAAGGAAUGUCUGUUUUACCGUGUGAUGCACAUACGUACUGAGCAUUUGCUGAGCAAACCUGAGUUAUUACGACCAUGGCUGUAAAUCAAACAGUAUAUAUAUAUCAGUGGCAUGAAAACAGUAUCUUGUAAUUCAUAUGUAAAAGAUGUAAAAGUUAUUUUAAAUGAUGUAUGUAUGUCUAAGAAGAUCUAUAGGUCGUAGGUUCAAGCCAUGAAAGCAAUCACUCAUGUUUGCAUUAGGCUAGACUGUCUACAUCACACCCUUGAGGUGCGGCUCUUUCAUGGACCUUACGUAAAUACAAAAUGCUUUGUACACCCAAUUGCCUAUAUAUAUAUAUAUAUAUAUAUAUAUAUAUCCGAAAAAAUCACUUGACUUUUUUUCCCUAAUUGUUGUUGGAUGUUUGAACCCUAAUCUGUUACUAUUAUCAUCUCACUUAAUCGAUAGAAACAGCGUCUGGAAUUAAAGUUUAUGAAUUCUGAAUUUGCUGCCGAACCUAUAGCUCGUUUUAGUAACAUAGUUCGUAAUUAAAUACUUAUACACAUUUGAUAGAGUUUCUAUUACAAUUACAUAAUUUAAUCAAUAAUUGUUAGGUUCGUUCAAAUCUGUACUUAAUAAUAUGGUAGAUUAAAAAGAACAGAUAUUCAUCUUGGGAAUGCAUAGAGGGAGUGUGACUACUCAUGUUCUUACUUUUUAUUUAAUUUUUUUAAUCAUAACAAGAAAAAAUGAAAGAGAAACAUACCACAAAUGUAAGCAAUGAGGAAAAUGGAACAGCGAAAAGAUAGGCCAAAGUUUUC